GAUCAUGGCUCAGGACGAACGCUAGCGGCGUGCUUAACACAUGCAAGUCGAACGGAAAGAGAUGAAAGAGCUUGCUCUUUUAUUAAUUUCAGUGGCAAACGGGUGAGUAACACGUAAACAACCUGCCUUAAGGAUGGGGAUAACAGACGGAAACGACUGCUAAUACCGAAUACGUUCUAAGCAUCGCAUGGUGCAUAGAAGAAAGGGUGGCCUCUACAAGAAGGCUAUCGCCUUAAGAGGGGUUUNCG
rnacentral:rRNA from 1 species